AACUAGUCUUAUGCUGCUCAAUAUUGUUGGGAAUACCAAAAGAUUCUUGCAACACUUGGAGUAUUUUUUUUGGCUGAGCCUCUUUAAAUUUUUGACUGAACACGUCAUUCAUGAAGGCCCACAUAAUGCAAUGAAUCAUGGUGCGAUCGUUAUGCCACUUCAAAUAAGUGUCUCAGACUACACCUCGAGCAUUAGGAGCAAGCUCCUCAGAGGUCGGAUUUGUAAUCAAAUAUAUGUUUCGCUCGUGCUCCAGGACAAUCUUAAGCUUUCGAUACCCAUUAUCAAAAUUGGAUUCCGUCAACUUCUCACUAUCCAACA
rnacentral:lncRNA from 1 species